GGAGAGAUGACCGAGAGGCCGAAGGUGCUCCCCUGCUAAGGGAGUAUACGGGAAACCGUAUCGAGGGUUCGAAUCCCUCUCUCUCCG
rnacentral:tRNA from 1 species